rnacentral:rRNA from 1 species
AAAAACAUGGCUCCUUGACUUUUAGUAAUAAGGAGUCGGACCUGCCCAGUGAAUAUUUCAACGGCCGCGGUACUCUGACCGUGCAAAGGUAGCAUAAUCAUUUGCCUUAUAAUUGAAGGCUAGUAUGAAUGGUUUGACAAGAAUAUAGCUGUCUCUUUAUGAUUAUCUAGAAUUUUAUUUUUAGGUGAAGAAGCCUAAAUUUAAUUAAAAGACAAGAAGACCCUAUCGAGCUUGAAAAAAUUUAAUGAAAUUUAAAAUUAAUAGUGUUAAAAAAUUAUUUGUUAAAAAUUUUGGUUGGGGCGACUGAGGAACAUAAAAAGCUUCCUUUAUUAAUAAAUCUCGUGCUUGAGUUGAUCCAAAAUAUUUUGAUUAAAGAAAUUAGUUACCGUAGGGAUAACAGCAUAAUCUUUUUUAAGAGCUCAUAUCGAAAAAAAGGUUUGUGACCUCGAUGUUGGACCAGAAUAUCCUAAAGGUGCAGCAGCCUUUGAGGGUUGGUCUGUUCGACCAUUAAAAUUCUACGUGA